rnacentral:rRNA from 1 species
CCCUUAGAUGCUCUGGGCCGCACGCGCGCUACACUGGUCGAUGCAACGAGUUUCUUUCCUUGGCCGACAGGCCUGGGCAAUCUUUGAACAUCGAUCGUGAUCGGGAUAGAUUCUUGUAAUUUUUGAUCUUAAACGAGGAAUUCCUAGUAAACGCAAGUCAUCAAUCUGCAUUGAUUACGUCCCUGCCCUUUGUACACACCGCCCGUCGCACCUACCGAUUGGAUGGUCCGGUGAAGCCUCGGGAUUGUGGUUCUUGCCGCUUUAUUGUGGCGUGACCGCGAGAACUUGUCUAAACCUUAUCAUCUAGAGGAAGGUGAAGUCGUAACA